rnacentral:lncRNA from 1 species
GAAAUCCUUCUCUCCUGCCAGCCGCGGGCAGCGCCCCACGGCUGGCGUUCCUAGCGCCCAAAACCCUAGCCUCCUCUCUCGCUCCCACAGCCGCCUUCCUGUAAACAGUACCCACGGGCACUGUAGCGCGGGUACUGUUCAUGCCAUCAGCUGCCGCUCCUUCGAUCCCAAUCCAUCUCCCUCGAUCCCCAGCAGCCACAUAACAAUAACAGUCCGCUGAUUAUAUCCCUCCAAAUCUGUCCAAAACCAAGCUGCUGCAAGAUCUCCAGUAAAAAGGGCCAAGACACAGAAUCAAAUGCCUUCGAGAUAUCCAACUUGAGUAGAAUUCGGGGCUGUUUCUGCUGAUGAAGGUACCUCGCUGUCUGCUGCACUAACAUGAAGUUAUCCUGUAUAAAACGGCCUUUGAUGAAGGCACUUUGAUUAGGCGAGACAAUUUGUUGCAGCUUAGGGGCAAGCCGAUUAGCAAGCAGCUUUGUGAUUAGUUUGACAAAACUGUGGACCAAACUUAUAGGUCUGAAAUCCUUAGGUUGAUCUGCGCCCUCCAUUUUUGGGAGAAGGGUGAUAUAGGCUGAGUUGAGAGUGCCAAAAUUCCCCAUCUUCCUACUCCAGACCGCUGAAACUGCCACCAUAAUGUCAUCCUUUAUAAUAGGCCAGCAAGACUUGUAAAAACAGCCUGUGAAACCAUCCGGUCCGGGAGCCUUAUCUGAAGGUAGCUGCUGGAUCGUCCUCCACACCUCAUCUUCAGUGAAGGGGAGAUCAAGAUCUGACAUAUCAUGUGUAUCAAUUCCCAAAUUAGGCAAGUUAAUGGUGUGCUCCCUAACUGUACAGGUACCCAACAGAUCUUCAUAAAAAUCAUCAAUGAUCGCAGCUUUGUCCUCAUGGCUGAUGCAAAUUCGCUCUCCUGUGAUAAGCUUCCCAAUAAAAUUCCUUCUUUUUCGGUGUCUAGCAUGCAGAUGGAACAGCCUUGUAUUAGCAUCGCCAUCUUUGAGCCAACUGAUCCUUGAGCGUAAGUGAGCCAUUGUGCGCUUCAGGGAAGCAAGGGCCAAGCUGUGCUUCUUCAGAUUGUUCUUAAACCAUAGUUCUCUAGGGGAAAGCUGGCGGUUGUCUUGAGCAAUCUCAAAUUGAUGCAAGAUUUCUCUUGCCAAAGCAAGCUGAAAAUUAAUUUGACCCACCGCCUUGUCACUCCAACUCUGCAGCCCUUUGGAAACGGCUCUAAACUUUCUGUUCAGAGUUAAGAAAGGGCAUGGAGCAGCAGGGAUUGAAGUCCAUGCUGAGGAGACAGCUUCCUGAAAGCCAUCAAGUUUAGUCCAGAAGGACUCAAAAUGGAAUCGGGGUCUUCCAGGUUUACUGUCAUUGAGACCAAGUAGGAGCGGGCAAUGAUCAGAAUCCUCUGAAGCCAUACUCUGAAGUAAACAGUUUGGAAAUUUCUCCUCCCAAUCAACAGAACACAGAACUCUAUCCAAUCUCACCAGUGUAGGAGAGUUUUGCUGAUUUGACCAUGUGUAUUUUCGUCCAUGAAGGGGUAUCUCUUUAAGGGCCAAGUCAUUGAUAAACCUCCUAAAACGACCCAUCAUUGCUCUAUUAUAAUUGGCAUUAUUUUUGUCUUCAUCCCUGUAGAUUAGAUUAAAAUCUCUAGCCACCAUCCAUGGUCCCGGACAAGCUGCACGAAUAUCACGUAACUCCUGUAGAAACUGAAUUUUUUCAUCAUUGCCUUGAGGCCCAUAAACACAAGUCAACCACCACGACUGCCCAUUUACUGGGGAGAACUGAACUGUUACACUAUGAUUAUCAACCCGCUGAGCUGUAGAAACUCCGAUAUGCCGUCUCCAGGCAAUCAAGAUUCCUCCACUAGCACCAAUCGAGGGGGCGAAAGUGAAGUCUGAGAAAUCCGAGCCUAAUGCAGAGAGUAUAAUUCUGCGCGACAAUUCCGUGAUCUUGGUUUCCUGAAUACAAACAAUAUCCGACCGAGAAGAAUCCACAAAAGAACAUACAGAGUCUUGCUUGGAGAUAGAGUUCAAUCCCCUAACAUUCCAAAUCAAAAUUUUUUCAGGAUCCAUAAACACAAGUUGAAGGACGACCACUCAGGCACCAGACUGCUAACCCAACAUUU